rnacentral:rRNA from 1 species
AGGGCACCACCAGGAGUGGAGCCUGCGGCUUAAUUUGACUCAACACGGGAAAACUCACCCGGCCCGGACACCGUAAGGAUUGACAGAUUGAGAGCUCUUUCUUGAUUCGGUGGGUGGUGGUGCAUGGCCGUUCUUAGUUGGUGGAGCGAUUUGUCUGGUUAAUUCCGAUAACGAACGAGACUCUAGCCUGCUAAAUAGGCAGUGGAUUAUUCGUCCACUGUACUUCUUAGAGGGACAAGCAGCGUCUAGCUGCACGAGAUUGAGCAAUAACGGGUCUGUGAUGCCCUUAGAUGUUCGGGGCUGCACGCGCGCUACACUGAAGGAAUCAACAUGCUUCUCAACCUUGGCCGGAAGGUCUAGGUAACCCGUUGAAACUCCUUCGUGAUUGGGAUAGGGAAUUGCAAUUAUUUCCCUUGAACGAGGAAUUCCCAGUAAGUGCGGGUCAUCAGCUCGCGCUGAUUACGUCCCUGCCCUUUGUACACACCGCCCGUCGCUACUACCGAUUGGAGGUAGAGCAGA